CAUGAAGAAAGAGCAGUCAGCUUGCAGAGGCAGAGACAGAGGAAAACAUCAUCCAUGCCCUGAAAGAAGGGAUUACUACCCCUUAGGCUUCAUCCAGCACCAGAGGCCACCCAGCAGUCAUAAUGGUUGGGUCCUCUGGUGGUGAGGAGAGAGCUAAGCCUUCAGUGUUAUUCAAGGCUUCUGAGCCCACCUGCUUAAGGGAAAUAGCAGUUGAUAGGGUUCUACUCUUGGGAUUAACCCAAAAUAAUUGAUGUCUUUGUUUACUUAGUCUUCCAGCUGUGGCAUGGCACCACCUUAUAUCAUGAUUUAAUAUGAUAUAAUAUUAACCUGUGAAUCUCUUACAGAUUUAAAAGCAGUUGUGUCCAUUUUGCUGAACCACCUAGAGUCGCCUCUUGAGAGAUGGCCAAUAGACUUUUUCAGACUUUCCCCCCCAAUCAGAUGGAUACAGCCUGAUGGCUGCAAGCACCCUGUGGACUAAACUCCUUUGCAAUGGUGACCAACUGACUGGCUUGUUGAAUGUGCUCUUAGUUGCCUGUCAUCUUUGCAGCUGGGCUGCCUUAGAAGAUAGCCACAACCACUGACCAUACUGGACUUGGUUAUGAAACCAUAGUUGGACCCAUGUAGAGACAUUAGCCUGGGGGCAAUACAAUAGAACCUUAUUAGGGCUGGUUUUUUUUUUAAGAUUUUAUUUAUUCAUUUGAGAGGCAGAGCUACAGACAGUGAGAUGGCCACAACAGCCAGAGCUGUGCUGAUCCAAAGCUAGGAGCCAGGUGCUUCUUCUGGGUCUCCCACGUGGGUGCAGGGGCCCAAAGACUUGAGCCAUCGUACACUGCUUUCCCAGGUCACAGCAGAGAGCUGGAUUGGAAGAGGGGCGGCUGGGACUAGAACUGGCACCCACAUGGAUGCCAGCACUGCAGGUGGAGGAUUAACCCACUGAGCCAUGGAGCCAGCCCCAGGGUUGGAGUUUUCUCUGCUAUGUCUUAUAGUUUGUUGCUGUAACUUGUCUUGUUAUAGCCUUUAGAUAUCAAGAUCCAUACCCUAUGUGUACUCCUUGCACAGGGAUCCUUCUGGAUGAUAACAUACAGAUAGGGUAUAAGUCAAGGAAACUUGAAGGGUGAAAUGUUGAGGAGAAGAACUUGGGAAGGUGAAGUUAUCAAUUUCCAAGCCUUUAGCCCUUGCCCCCUUAUUCUGUGCCUCUGUGGUAACUGGCACCAUGGUAACUAACAGGUGCACCUGCUUGGCUAGCUGCCCACAAAUCUUUUAUGCAAUGGUUUGGCUCUGGGUCACUUUGCAAACCCAGACAAGCAACUUGGAGGCAUAUCUAGAUGUGGCUGCUUGUGGACCUGUGGAUGUGUAACUGGAUGUGGCUGUGUGUGGAUGUUUGCUGAUGUCUGUGUGUGUGUCUGAUUUCCACCAUGGACGCAAAGGCAGAUAUUGAUUGUGGCCUCACUGCCACUGGGGGCUGUUCCUUGUGCAGUUCUCACUGUCCCUGUGAAUACUGGAAAUAUAAGCCCACAAAGGGUUCUCAGUUGUUCUCUGACCUGUUGGAAUCGGGAUCUGCUUGUCCUGAACCCUAAGUCCUGAGCAUACAAUUAACAAUUCUGAUCUACUGGAGAGAAAGAAGAUAGGAAGAAUUAUCCAUUCUGUGUUUUAGUUGUCUCCCUCUACAUUUUCUUCUUGGACUCUUCAUUUUUCUUAUUUUUAAAAACUUAUUUAUUUAUUUAUUUGACACGUAGAGUUACAGACAGUGAGAAGGAGAGACAGAAAGAAAGGUCGUCCAUCUGCUGGUUCACUCCCCAAAUGGCCACAAUGGCUGGAGAUGGGCCAAUUCGAAGCCAGGAGCCAGGAGUUUCUUCUGUGUCCCCCACUUGGGCACAGGGGCCCAAAUACUUGGGCCAUAGUCCACUACUUUCCCAGGCCAUAGCAGAGAGCUGGAUCAGAAGAGGAGCAGUUGGGACCAAACCUGGCACCUGGCACUGCAGGUGGAUGAUUAACCUAUUGAACCUCAGCGCCAGCCUCCCUCUUGUAUUUGUUAACUUCCACUCAACACCAUGUAAUUGCUAUUCAAGGGGUUGUAUUCUGUGAUUGUGCUUACUCUUUCCUCCAGGCAGUAAGCUUGGUUCAGAGGUGGACAAGAGACCCAAGCGAUUUUAGCCAACAUCCUUUUGAGGAUUUAAUAUGGCAACAGGAGAAAACAGGUUUCUUCACUUUUCUGUGAGUGAUGUACUUGCAACGACCACAGGAACCUGGAUCUGUGGUUCCUGCAUGGGGGACCGCCUGUUUGAGAAUGAAGCCAAAACAGAGAAGAACAGAUACGUGGAAUAAGCUAAAGUCCUGUCCCCUGAGCAAUUUUGUCCUUCCUGCCUGAGCUACAUUAACCCUACUUACACUAGUUUCUUUUUUCACAGUAGCUGAGUUCUGAUGAAUAUAUGUCUCAUCUUUCACUCUGUCAAUACAAAAGGAAACAGAGAAAAUAUGAACUUCACCACUUUAUUUUUGAAAUCACAAGCAAUCAAAGUGACCAUCAUUGAGGCUUCUGUUAAAAUAUUUCCAGCAGAGCUGCCCCAGUUUUAAGAUAAACAAUAUUGCACUUUAAGAUCAACUAACUUUCAGGAUCCUCUUCAAAGAAGGAAAGUAUUGCUUCAUCUGUGCUUUUCUUAGACUAAAA